rnacentral:rRNA from 1 species
GACGAACGCUGGCGGCGCGCUUAACACAUGCAAGUCGAGCGAGAACCUUCCUUCGGGAAGGGGAAAGCGGCGAACGGGUGAGUAACACGUGGGUAAUCAACCCUUGGUACCGGGAUAGCCCGAGGAAACUCGGAUUAAUACCGGAUGGCCCAACAGCUUUUCGGGGCGGUUGGGAAAGGUAGCUUCGGCCUCCGACCGAGGACGAGCCCGCGGCGGAUUAGCUUGUUGGUGGGGUAACGGCCUACCAAGGCGACGAUCCGUAGCUGGUCUGAGAGGACGAUCAGCCACACUGGGACUGAGACACGGCCCAGACUCCUACGGGAGGCAGCAGUGGGGAAUCUUGCACAAUGGGCGAAAGCCUGAUGCAGCGACGCCGCGUGAGGGAAGAAGGC